UGCCCGUUGGUCAAGUGGUUAAGACACCGCCCUUUCACGGCGGUAUCACGGGUUCGAAUCCCGUACGGGUCA
rnacentral:tRNA from 1 species